rnacentral:tRNA from 1 species
GCUGCUAUGGUGAAAUGGUAGACACAUAACUUUCAAAAAGUUACAGAGAAAUCUAUACCGGUUCAAGUCCGGUUAGCAGCA